rnacentral:rRNA from 1 species
GACGAACGCUGGCGGCGUGCUUAACACAUGCAAGUCGAACGGAAAGGCCCUGCUUUUGUGGGGUGCUCGAGUGGCGAACGGGUGAGUAACACGUGAGUAACCUGCCCUUGACUUUGGGAUAACUUCAGGAAACUGGGGCUAAUACCGGAUAGGAGCUCCUGCUGCAUGGUGGGGGUUGGAAAGUUUCGGCGGUUGGGGAUGGACUCGCGGCUUAUCAGCUUGUUGGUGGGGUAGUGGCUUACCAAGGCUUUGACGGGUAGCCGGCCUGAGAGGGUGACCGGCCACAUUGGGACUGAGAUAGGGCCCAGAGUCCUACGGGAGGCAGCAGUGGGGAAUAUUGCACAAUGGGCGGAAGCCUGAUGCAGCAACGCCGCGUGCGGGAUGACGGCCUUCGGGUUGUAAACCGCUUUCGCCUGUGACGAAGCGUGAGUGACGGUAAUGAGUAAAGAAGCACCGGCUAACUACGUG